rnacentral:rRNA from 1 species
UCUGCGAUUUCCGAAUGGGGAAACCCAACUGCAUAAGCAGUUACUGUUAACUGAAUACAUAGGUUAACAGAGCAAACCGGGGGAACUGAAACAUCUAAGUACCCCGAGGAGAAGAAAUCAACCGAGAUUCCGGUAGUAGCGGCGAGCGAACCUGGAUUAGCCCUUAAGCACUCGGUGAAGUAGGUGAACAAGCUGGAAAGCUUGGCGAUACAGGGUGAUAGCCCCGUAACCGACGCUUCAUCGAGCGUGAAAUCGAGUAGGGCGGGACACGUGAUAUCCUGUCUGAAUAUGGGGGGACCAUCCUCCAAGGCUAAAUACUCCUGACUGACCGAUAGUGAACCAGUACCGUGAGGGAAAGGCGAAAAGAACCCCUGUGAGGGGAGUGAAAUAGAACCUGAAACCGUGUACGUACAAGCAGUAGGAGCACCUUCGUGGUGUGACUGCGUACCUUUUGUAUAAUGGGUCAGCGACUUAUAUUCAGUGGCAAGGUUAACCGUAUAGGGGAGCCGUAGCGAAAGCGAGUCUUAACUGGGCGCUCAGUCUCUGGAUAUAGACCCGAAACCGGGUGAUCUAGCCAUGGGCAGGUUGAAGGUUGAGUAACAUCAACUGGAGGACCGAACCGACUAAUGUUGAAAAAUUAGCGGAUGACUUGUGGCUAGGGGUGAAAGGCCAAUCAAACUCGGAGAUAGCUGGUUCUCCCCGAAAGCUAUUUAGGUAGCGCCUCGGACGAAUACUACUGGGGGUAGAGCACUGUUAAGGCUAGGGGGUCAUCCCGACUUACCAACCCUUUGCAAACUCCGAAUACCAGUAAGUACUAUCCGGGAGACACACGGCGGGUGCUAACGUCCGUCGUGGAGAGGGAAACAACCCAGACCGCCAGCUAAGGUCCCAAAGUAUUGCUAAGUGGGAAACGAUGUGGGAAGGCUCAGACAGCUAGGAUGUUGGCUUAGAAGCAGCCAUCAUUUAAAGAAAGCGUAAUAGCUCACUAGUCGAGUCGGCCUGCGCGGAAGAUGUAACGGGGCUAAGCAAUACACCGAAGCUGCGGCAAUGUCUUUUAGACAUUGGGUAGGGGAGCGUUCUGUAAGCCGUUGAAGGUGAAUCGUAAGGUUUGCUGGAGGUAUCAGAAGUGCGAAUGCUGACAUGAGUAACGACAAAGGGGGUGAAAAACCUCCUCGCCGGAAGACCAAGGGUUCCUGUCCAACGUUAAUCGGGGCAGGGUGAGUCGACCCCUAAGGUGAGGCCGAAAGGCGUAAUCGAUGGGAAACGGGUUAAUAUUCCCGUACUUCUGACUAUUGCGAUGGGGGGACGGAGAAGGCUAGGUGGGCCAGGCGACGGUUGUCCUGGUUCAAGUGCGUAGGCUUGAGAGUUAGGUAAAUCCGGCUCUCUCUAAGGCUGAGACACGACGUCGAGCUACUACGGUAGUGAAGUCAUUGAUGCCAUGCUUCCAGGAAAAGCCUCUAAGCUUCAGAUAGUCAGGAAUCGUACCCCAAACCGACACAGGUGGUCGGGUAGAGAAUACCAAGGCGCUUGAGAGAACUCGGGUGAAGGAACUAGGCAAAAUGGUACCGUAACUUCGGGAGAAGGUACGCUCUUGAUGGUGAAGUCCCUCGCGGAUGGAGCUGACGAGAGUCGCAGAUACCAGGUGGCUGCAACUGUUUAUUAAAAACACAGCACUGUGCAAAAUCGCAAGAUGACGUAUACGGUGUGACGCCUGCCCGGUGCCGGAAGGUUAAUUGAUGGGGUUAGCGCAAGCGAAGCUCUUGAUCGAAGCCCCGGUAAACGGCGGCCGUAACUAUAACGGUCCUAAGGUAGCGAAAUUCCUUGUCGGGUAAGUUCCGACCUGCACGAAUGGCGUAAUGAUGGCCACGCUGUCUCCACCCGAGACUCAGUGAAAUUGAAAUCGCUGUGAAGAUGCAGUGUACCCGCGGCUAGACGGAAAGACCCCGUGAACCUUUACUACAGCUUGGCACUGAACAUUGAACCUACAUGUGUAGGAUAGGUGGGAGGCUAUGAAGACGUGACGCCAGUUGCGUUGGAGCCGUCCUUGAAAUACCACCCUUGUAUGU